UCUCGCCUUCUCUGCUAUCCCACUUCUUUCCAUUAGCUUCGCGUCGUGUUUCCUCAGGGCGCUCCGCCGCCGGGAGGUGAGGGACGAAGGCGUGGAAAUCGUUGGCGACGUGAUUGCCGCUGAGUUCGGUGAAGUCAAGAUCAAACUCGGCGAUGGUGAAAGAGAUCGAGUCGUGCGGGCGAAUCGAACUAAGGGGCGACGGACGAAGUUGAGGGGGCGGACGAUUUUUCCGGCAAAAAGGGAGAAAUGGGUAGGGGCUUGAGGCGAUGGACUGGCGGAGACGUUUGAGGCGGUGCAACACGAAGUGUUCUGUGUCCUCUGUCUAUUAUCCGUUGCUCUGCUCGGCAAUAUUGUGAAGAAGCUAAAGAAUCCAAAUACAGGGGUCACUCGAGAGUCUAAUCUAGACCUCGGUUGGACCAAUGACACCUCUCAACCAAGAUCAGUAUCCUAAAGUUAGGAAUCUCAAUUCAGGAACUGGAGUAUUUUCUAGGUGCUCUUGCAGGGUAAAGGGACGAAGCUGCUCAUCAACACAUGAAGCAUAGGAUGUAAAACAAUAGGACUUAUUUCUUUCUUUCCUUUUCUUUAUAUCAAGGAAGACACUUCGAAUUGUAUUUCUAUCAAUCUAUCGCGAUACAUGACAAGAUUGUAUUUCAUCAUA